rnacentral:rRNA from 1 species
GAUGAACGCUAGCGGCAGGCCUAACACAUGCAAGUCGAGGGGUAGCAGGAUUAAGCUUGCUUAAUUGCUGACGACCGGCGCACGGGCGCGUAACGCGUAUGCAACCUACCUUAUACUGGGGUAUAGCCCGGAGAAAUUCGGAUUAAUCCCCCAUAGUACUAAUGAAUCGCAUGGUUUAUUAGUUAAAGCAUUGCGGUAUAAGAUGGGCAUGCGUCCUAUUAGCUAGAUGGUGAGGUAACGGCUCACCAUGGCUACGAUAGGUAGGGGGCCUGGGAGGGUGUGCCCCCACACUGGUACUGAGACACGGACCAGACUCCUACGGGAGGCAGCAGUGAGGAAUAUUGGUCAAUGGGCGCAAGCCUGAACCAGCCAUGCCGCGUGCAGGAAGAAUGCCCUAUGGGUUGUAAACUGCUUUUAUUUGGGAAUAAACCUCUUUACGUGUAGAGAGCUGAAGGUACCAAAUGAAUAAGCACCGGCUAACUCCGUGCCAGCCGCCGCCGUAA